rnacentral:rRNA from 1 species
AUACGGAAGGGGGCUAGCGUUGCUCGGAAUGACUGGGCGUAAAGGGCGUGUAGGCGGUUGAUACAGUCAGAUGUGAAAUCCCCGGGCUUAACCUGGGAGCUGCAUUUGAGACGUAUUGACUAGAGUGUGAGAGAGGGUUGUGGAAUUCCCAGUGUAGAGGUGAAAUUCGUAGAUAUUGGGAAGAACACCGGUGGCGAAGGCGGCAACCUGGCUCAUUACUGACGCUGAGGCGACGAAAGCGGUGGGGAGAC